GAUGAACGCUAGCGGCAGGCUUAAUACAUGCAAGUCGUGGGGCAGCAGGACUGUAGCACUACAGUUGCUGGCGACCGGCAAACGGGUGCGGAACACGUACGCAACUUACCCUGAACUGGGGGAUAGCCCGGGGAAACCCGGAUUAAUACCCCGUAAUAUAAUGGAGUGGCAUCACUUUAUUAUUAAAGCUCCGGCGGUUCGGGAUGGGCGUGCGGCUGAUUAGGUAGUUGGUUGAGGUAACGGCUCACCAAGCCUACGAUCAGUAACUGGUGUGAGAGCACGACCAGUAACACGGGCACUGAGACGCGGGCCCGACUCCUACGGGAGGCAGCAGUAAGGAAUAUUGGGCAAUGGAGGCAACUCUGACCCCGCCAUGCCGGGGGGAGGAUGAAGGCCCUCUGGGGUGUAAACUUCUUUUAUAGGGGACGAAACCUGUGUAUUCUUACGCAGUUGACGGUACCCUAGGAAUAAGCCCCGGCGAACCCCGU
rnacentral:rRNA from 1 species